rnacentral:rRNA from 1 species
GUCCACGCCGUAAACGAUGAGCACUAGCUGUCGGGGGUAUCGACCCCUCCGGUAGCGCAGCUAACGCGAUAAGUGCUCCGCCUGGGGGACUACGGCCGCAAGGCUAAAACUCAAAGGAAUUGACGGGGGCCCGCACAAGCAGCGGAGCGUGCGGUUUAAUUCGAAGCUACGCGAAGAACCUUACCAGGGCUUGACAUGUACGGGACCGCCGGUGAAAGCCGGUUUUCUCUUCGGAGCCCGUGCACAGAUGCUGCAUGGCUGUCGU